UAACGAAUCUUCCGCAAUGCACGAAAGUGUGACGGAGCGACGCCGCGUGUGGGACGAAGCCCUUCGGGGUGUAAACCACUGUCAGGGGAUAGAAAGUUCUGAUCAUCCCCAGAGGAAGGCACGGCUAACUCUGUGCCAGCAGCCGCGGUAAGACAGAGGUGCCAAGCGUUAGGCGGAAUCACUGGGCUUAAAGCGUGUGUAGGUGGAAGCGUAAGUACCUUGUGAAAUCCCACGGCUUAACCGUGGAACUGCUUGGUAUACUGCGUUUCUUGAGCCAACUAGGGGCUAUCGGAACAAGUGGUGGAGCGGUGAAAUGCGUAGAUAUCACUUGGAACGCCAAUGGUGAAAACAGAUAGCUGGGGUUGUGCUGACACUGAGACACGAAAGCCAGGGGAGCAAACGGGAUUAGAUACCCCCGUAGUCC
rnacentral:rRNA from 1 species